AUUGAACGCUGGCGGCAGGCCUAACACAUGCAAGUCGAGCGGAGCGGCGGACGGGGGAGUAAUGCCUAGGUAUCUGCCUGGUAGUGGGGGAUAACGUCAGGAAACGGGCGCGAAUACCGCAUACUCUCAGAUGAGCCUAGGUCGGAUUAGCUAGUUGGUGGGGUAAAGGCCUACCAAGGCGACGAUCCCUACCUGGUCUGAGAGGAUGAUCAGUCACACUGGAACGGAGACACGGUCCAGACUCCUGCGGGAGGCAGCAGUGGGGAAUAUUGGACAAUGGGCGAAAGCCUGAUCCAGCCAUGCCGCGUGUGUGAAGAAGGUCUUCGGAUUGUAAAGCACUUUAAGUUGGGAGGCGUUACCAACAGAAUAAGCACCGGCUAACUACGUGCCAGCAGCCGCGGUAAUUC
rnacentral:rRNA from 1 species